AGAUCAUAAGUGGAAAGGAAAAAUAAGACAUGCAUUGAUUGUUUAUGCUUGUGGUAGCAAUGGUGACCAAAAAUGUGAGAGAUUGUGAAAUAUAUGUGGAAUCCAAGCUAAAAACCGAAAGGUAAGCAUACAUUGAGAGUACAUUAUGUUGUGUUGUCCUUCAUUGGUUGAAAGUAUGUGGAUUGCAUGUUAAAUUACUGUGAAUGAUGAGGAUGAAAAAUGUAAUAGUAGAUUAAGGAUUAAUUGAUUGAAGUGCGGCCUAUACAUGUGUGUAAUUAAUUAUACUCAGUUUGAAUUGUUGCUAGGAAAUGAGUAAAUUAGGAAGGUUUGCCAUGGUGGCAUACCGGUGGAGAUAACGGGUGAUUGGCAAGUAGAAUUAGCUGGAGACACACUUGAAUCGAUAGCGACAUAAUGUCUUACUAUUGUAAGGCUGUUAGACGUGGCUGGGACCAUGGUCUAUCAUAUAUAUGGCUAGGCCACAAGAUGAUAUACGUGGUUACGAGCACAUGAUUUCUCCGAUGUCCCAACAUAGUCGAGAUUGCCAUGGCUAUGGGAAUAUGGUAGAGUGAGGCUCCCAGAUUGUUAUUACAUGGAAGCAAGUCCACGAGUUGAUUAUUUACGAUUACCUACUCGAGAGUGGUGUCUCUUUAGGUUUUAAAAAAUGACUUCUUUCGCAUGGUGAGAAAUACAAAGCUUUUCGUAGCUCUUUAUUUAUACGAUGAUUUUGUGUUUAAUACCUCGAAGAUGAGAUGAUUUAUGAGCUUUUGUAAAAGCUUUGAUAAUGUUUGACUUCAUGGGAGCAUUCGUACUUAUGUUAGUUCAAUUUUAAGUAAAGGACAUUAAAUGCUUUCGAUGAUAGAAUUCUCUCACUCACACUACCUUUGAUAAAAUGAUUGUUAAAUGAUUACUUUGCAUUAAAAUUCUUGGUUUUAUAUGUAAGACACAAAUGUUCCAUUUGCUUUAAAAUGUUUUAUAUAUUCAUAUGAUUUUAAUAUUCAAAUUAUCUAUCCUUGGCUUGUUUUCCAUCUACGCCCUGCUCACGAAGUAGAUGAUCACUAAGUUUGUGAGACUCACCCCCCUUCUCUCCCAUUUGCAAAUAGUAAUCGGCCUAGCGUGCAAUUAUCGGCACUUAUGGUCCAUCGUGGAUAGGUAAAGGUAUCUCAUAGCACUUUAUUCUGACUCACUCUACUGCUAGUGGUUAAGUCGUUUGUAGUGCAUUUAUUUUUGUAAAUAGACAUUAGUCUCAAUACAACUGUACAGUUUGAAAUUAUACAUUUGGAUGUAGUUUUACAAUUUUGUGGAAUAAAGGUUAAGUUGAUUUAUUAUGACUAUUAUUCAAUACGAUAUUGUAAAGAGUUAUUCGGUACAAGGGAUUACAUAGAUUGAUGAAUAAAUAUAAUGAAUUAAUGAGAGUAUCUAAUAAGGCUUGUUCAAGACUUGGCGAGUUCUUCUGCAAGUCUCGGAUGCCAAUAAUGAUAAGGUAGAGGGCCAUUACAUAUGCAUAGACUAGGACAUCUAGAGGCUAUGAUGAACCACUAAGAGUAGAUUACCCUAGGUGACUGAUAUGUUCACAUGAAUUGAUUGAAUCAUGCCUUAGGACUCAGAGGCUCUUAAAACUUAGUCGAGCUUAAGACGAUUGAAAUUUGACAAAUGUGAUUUAUGGUUUGAAAAGGAAAGAUGUGAAUGAUAAAGGCAUGAUGGCCUUAUUUGUGGACUUGUGUUCCAUUCAGGGAAUGAAUUUUUGACGUUGAUCUAAUUUGUGGUUGGGUUGAUUUCUAGCCCUCUGUGACUAUUUGUGUGCCUGCAAGGAUGGUGGCACUAAUCUCAUGUAUGAUUCUGGCCUGUGGUGCUUUGAUGCCAUUCGUUGAGAUUACUCUGAGUGAUGCCAAAGUCAAGAGUUUGCUCUAGUCGAUGGUUUGUUCUCCGCUAGCUGCUUUGGUGCUAUGUGUGAUCUGUUCUCCCCUCAUUGCUUCGACACAUGCGUGAUCUAUUUCUCCAUUAGUGGCUUUGUCCUAAGUGUGAUUUUUGUCUCUGUCAGUUGUUCACUGUGCAUGAUCUCACUAUGUCCAUGUAACGACUGCUUCUUGAUCUCUACUUGCGUUUAAGUCUUGUGGGAGAACCCGUCAAGUCCCAAACAAGCCUUAAUUGAAACUUUUGUUAAUACGUUCUAUUCAUUUCACCAAUAUAUGUAAUUGCUUUGAACCAUAUAACUCUUUGUAAUAUGAUUUAAAUAGAAGUCAUUGUAAAUCGACUUAACUUUAAUUCCUCAUAACUAUAAAAAUAUAUCAAAGUUUUUUUUUUUAA